UGCUGCCUCAGGGUCUGGAUUCGACAGAGAAUGUGGAUGAGCAAACAUACUGUCAGUCUCCUGACAGUAUGCACAUCUUCAGCAGACCUUCAUCAAGCAGCACUGAUCUAAAUCAGUGUGGGGUGAGCCAGGAAAUCACCUCUGAUUCCCCAUAUUCAUCAGUACACCCAAUGGAUUGUACCUCAGAUGACUACAACCUGGUCACUUUGUUGGUGAUUCGUUUACUCUCAAAGUUGAAAGAUGAAGAGUCACUGGGUGAUGACAUGUUGGACAAAUCCAGAGAGCUCAUUGAUAAAGUGAUGGAGGCAAUUGAUGCUGCCUCUGGUAUGUCAACAAAUGAGACCCGUCUACAUGGUGUGAAGAUUCGCAAAGUCUUCAAGGCCGUAUACAGCGAUCUCCUGCAUGAGUCUGGCUGUAAGGAAGCUCUCCUGAGGACCAUGAUGUCAGGCGAUCCUUCUUUUGAGAAGAGCCUGGUCAGCUCCCUAACACGUGAACUCAUCCAAACCUCUGUUGAGCCCAAACCAAUGGAAGAGAAGAAGGCCCAGAGGAGAUUUCCAUUCUUACUAAAGUUUUCAAAGAUUAAGGCUUGUCUUAAUAUCAACCUGAAGAGGUCCAAGUCAGGUGGUAAGAAGUCCCCCAGCUUGGAUCAGGACUUGGAUCCCCCCUCUACUGAUGCUGACACAACUGUCCUAUGUGCAGGCUGCUUUCCCUUUGUUGCCCCAGCUGCCUUACGGAGGGACAAGACAUCUACUACCC
ensembl:lncRNA